CCGUCGAUAGCUCAGUUGGCAGAGCGGUGGACUGUAGAUCCAUAGGUCGCUGGUUCAAAUCCGGCUCGACGGA
rnacentral:tRNA from 1 species